rnacentral:rRNA from 2 species
GACUCUCGGCAACGGAUAUCUCGGCUCUCGCAUCGAUGAAGAACGUAGCAAAUGCGAUACCUGGUGUGUAACGAACACGAGUUCGGCCAUGAACGGGUGAAAACGGCCUCACCGGCCACCGGGGAGGAAAAUGUGAGGGAUG